rnacentral:rRNA from 1 species
CCCGGUUCUCUUGACUGAGUGCCGNGUCGCGGCCGAAACGUNUACUUUGAAAAAAUUGGAGUGUUCAAAGCAGGCCGUGAGCCUGGACAGCAGAGCAUGGAAUAAUGGAAUAGGACCUCGGUUCUAUUGCGUUGGUUCUCGGAACUCGAGGUAAUGAUUAAGAGGGACUGACGGGGGCAUUCGUAUUGCGGUGUGAGAGGUGAAAUUCUUGGAUCGCCGCAAGACGACCGACUGCGAAAGCAUUUGCCAAGAAUGUUUUCAUUAAUCAAGAACGAAAGUUAGAGGUUCGAAGGCGAUCAGAUACCGCCCUAGUUCUAACCAUAAACGAUGCCGACUGGCGAUCCGCCGGCGUUACUCCAAUGACGCGGCGGNCAGUCUGCGGGAAACCAAAGUCUUUGG